UACGUAGGGUGCAAGCGUUGUCCGGAAUUAUUGGGCGUAAAGAGCUCGUAGGCGGUUUGUUGCGUCGGCUGUGAAAUCCCGAGGCUCAACCUCGGGUCUGCAGUCGAUACGAGCAAACUAGAGUGUUGCAGGGGAGACUGGAAUUCCUGGUGUAGCGGUGGAAUGCGCAGAUAUCAGGAGGAACACCGGUGGCGAAGGCGGGUCUCUGGGCCGAUACUGACGCUGAGGCGCGAAAGCGUGGGGAGCGAACAGG
rnacentral:rRNA from 1 species